rnacentral:lncRNA from 12 species
AAACAUUGUCCCAGUCAAAUCUUCUAAAAGAUGCUGGAUAUCUCCACACAGUAGAGAAUUAGAUGAGAUUUGGGAAACAAUGGGACACAUUUGAUAAUUCAGUUUGUAAUACUGCAGUUGUUGUAAGCAUUUUAUUUGCUUCCUAAUUUUAAGUCUUACAGUCAAAUAUGUUUCUUCCAGGUAUUUUCAAAGACAUCACUCCCUGUGUUACAUUAAACCUCAUUUCUCUGUGGAUCUGCCUUGUCCAUAUUUCAUUGAUCUUCUCAGUGUGUAACUUAGUGCCUGGACUAGCACCGAUGAGCCUUUUAAGCAGGACAAUCAUGCAGAAGCAAAGCCAAUGCAGAAGAGAAGGUCAGAAGAUGGGCCAGGAGGGUAUCUUCUGGGAUUUAAAAUGCCUGAGAUUCUUGUGACUUUCUGGGGGGCUCCUUUGGAGGUCUUUCCCCAGAUUUGUCCUAAACUGGGACAGAGGUGUAGACAAUAAAUACUUGUUAUAUAAUACUUGUUAUAUAAGUAAUUUCCUAUUCCUG